UACGUAGGGGCAAGCGUUGUCCGGAAUUAUUGGGCGUAAAGCGCGCGCAGGCGGUCAUUUAAGUUUGGUGUUUAAUCCCGGAGCUCAACUCCGGGUCGCACUGAAAACUGGGUGACUUGAGUACAGAAGAGGAGAGUGGAAUUCCACGUGUAGCGGUGAAAUGCGUAGAUAUGUGGAGGAACACCAGUGGCGAAGGCGACUCUCUGGGCUGUAACUGACGCUGAGGCGACGAAAGCGUGGGGGAGCAAACAGG
rnacentral:rRNA from 1 species